AGUGCUGUCACGGAGCAACUAAAUGUUGUAGUUUUAGUUUUGAUAGUCAAUGCCAAUCCUCAGAUAGUCUGUUUCUAAUUAAUGACUUCUGUUCUGUUCAUUUGUGGAUGCAUGCAAUGUUUUUACUCAUCCCAUAGGAGGGCUUUUAUGUAAUUCAAGGUUAAAAAUGCAGAUGAACAUUUGUAAUGCAGAUGUGCUGCAACAUUUUAUUUCUGCAUCUUCUGUCUGCAGUGUUCCUUUCUACAUGGCUAUUUUUGCAUACUUAAGAACUCAACCUCUAAUUGCAUAUUUCAGCUUAAUUGAAAUUAUAUACAACUGAGAAGUAUCUUCAUUACCAGUGGUAACAAUGUCUCUUCUGCUUACAGUCAAAUGUCAAAUAUAGCUGAACUCAAGGAACAUUUAGAUGAGGAAAGAACAGACAUCAAGUGAGAAAAGGUUCAGAAUUUUAUCUCUUCUCAAGCUCAAUCACGAACUCACUUUCUCUUGGUGCAAAUGAUUAAGCUUAUUGUUAGAGUCUGGGCAGUGCAUCAACUUUCUUUUGCGUGGAAUUCCAGUGUCUCUUUCUAUCCAGGAUUCAAUUUCUUCAGUGUCAGCGGGGUAUAGUUUGAGGAGUGUUGACUGCAGAGAACAAUGUAGAAUAAUUGUUUGAA